rnacentral:rRNA from 1 species
CAGCACCUCAAGUGGUCAGGAUGAUUAUUGGGCCUAAAGCAUCCGUAGCCGGCUCUGUAAGUUUUCGGUUAAAUCUGUACGCUCAACGUACAGGCUGCCGGGAAUACUGCAGAGCUAGGGAGUGGGAGAGGUAGACGGUACUCGGUAGGAAGGGGUAAAAUCCUUUGAUCUAUUGAUGACCACCUGUGGCGAAGGCGGUCUACCAGAACACGUCCGACGGUGAGGGACGAAAGCUGGGGGAGCAAGCCGGAUUAGAUACCCGUGUAGUCC